rnacentral:rRNA from 1 species
UAGUCUUGACAUCCCGGUGACCGGAGCUUAACCGCUCCUUCCCUUCGGGGCAGCGGUGACAGGUGGUGCAUGGUUGUCGUCAGCUCGUGUCGUGAGAUGUUGGGUUAAGUCCCGCAACGAGCGCAACCCCUAUCUUUAGUAGCCAGCAGUUCGGCUGGGCACUCUAGAGAGACUGCCAGGGAUAACCUGGAGGAAGGUGGGGAUGACGUCAAAUCAUCAUGCCCCUUAUGACUAGGGCUACACACGUGCUACAAUGGCAAUUACAAAGGGAAGCAGCCUCGUGAGAGUGAGCAAAUCCCAAAAAGGUUGCCUCAGUUCGGAUUGUAGUCUGCAACUCGACUACAUGAAGCUGGAAUCGCUAGUAAUCGCAGAUCAGAAUGCUGCGGUGAAUACGUUCCCGGGUC